UUGUUUCCUGGCCCCGGCUCCCAGGACCUUGUGGGCUGGGCAGGUCGUGAACCGAGUUUCCACGCUGCCUUUACACCAUGUCCCCAUCGAGGGGCGUCACGACCGUCCUCCACCCCGGGCGUCACCAGCUUCCCGAGUCCCACUGCUAUAAAGGACGCGUCGGUCAGCAUCUCGGAGUGAGACGCUUUCCUUCUGGAUUUAGAAUCGUCUGUCAGAGACUCCAAAGCACAUUUGCUAGAUCGACAGGCAUGUGGAGCCAGUGGCUUCUGACGCUUGGGAGUCUGCGUCCCACCUGCGUUCAGGCCCCAGGUUCACCACACACACAGCGGGCAGCCGCUUAAGAAACCUUUGAUUUCAGUCCAGGGACGGUGGCUCACGCCUGUAAUCCCAGCACUUUGGGAGGCCGAGGUGGGCGGAUCACGAGGUCAGGAGUUUGAGACCAGCCUGGUCAACAUGGAGAAACCCCGUCUCUACUAAAAAUACAAAAAUUAGCCGGGCAUGGCAGCAGGCGCCUGUAAUCCCAGCUCCUCAGGAGGCUGAGGCAGGGGGAAUUGUUU
rnacentral:sRNA from 1 species